UGAAAGGCCCAACCAACAGACUUCACAUGUGAGGCUACGGAGCCCAGGCUGGCCAGGGGGCCCCACCACCCCCGUCUCUGCUGCUCUUUCUAGGCUGUGUACCUGCUCCCUGCAGCUCCCCAGGUCAGACACCCUCCGAAAUCCAGGUUGCGAAAACACUUUUGAGACUAUAAAUAGCUAUACACUGGAUGAGGGACGAAGGAAGCGCCACCCAACAGCACUGGGCCCUGUGGUCGGAUCUCCCAGGUCUGGCGUCGUGAACAAGGUUGGAAAACCCCACUCGAGUCACCAGAGACGGCAGCCCCGGCCAACAGCUUGACCUCCGCAGAGGCCCCAAGCCAGGCGCCCGGCCCAGCGGCUCACAGAUGCCCGCCCCCCGGGACCGGUGAGACGCUAAUGUCUACUGUGGUGAGCUGCUACAUUCGAGGCUGUUUGUUAUGCAGCCAUGGAUAACUGAUACAGGUGGAAAGCAGCCAGCAGCCGAAGCAGCGGGUGCUCUUUUUCUCGGAUGUUCUUCUGGGUCAUCUCCCCUCCCCCUCUCCCAUCACCCACCUCGGGCAUGUGGCUCCGGCCAGCAGUCCCCGCCUUUCAGAGCCGGCCGCAGCACCGGAUUCGUGGUGGCAUGGGGUGGUGCCAGGCCAAUCCCCAAACAUGCACCGGAGUCACUGGGAAAAAGCUUUCUUGCUUCUGGACUUGAGCAGAGAGUAGACAGCAUCCGACGCGGGCAACUGAAGGCUGGGAGGGAUGGCCUUCACUACUCCUCUGCCACCUUCCAAAGCGCAUGCGAACGUCCUGGAGUCAAGUCCUGCCUCGAGCUACACAGGGAAGGGACUUCUGGCAUUGCACAGUGACACAACCCAAAUCACCACGCUUAACUCACCAAAGAAUCCUCACCUUACAAGUGUCAUCUGAGUCACCAGGACCUUCAACUGGCUCACACCCCAGCCACCCUCUUGAACAGCCAAAUAGAGGAGGUAGGGGCUGCAGAGGCCCCCAGAAGCUAGAGAGCUGGAAGCACAGCUGUCCCCCUUCCCCACGUGUGGGUGCCCAACAGGUGCCGCUCCUCGCCUUCGGCUGAGAGGGUUCCUGCCAGAGGCUGCCUGGACACAGGGACAAGUGCUCCUGUUCCCCGGUGAUUGGUGCAGGGGAGAUCCACACACCCGAACCCGAGGGCCUUGACCUAUUCCAGGCAGACCCGCAGGGUCUCCACACCUCUUUCCCCCAUCACCCCCAUUACCUACAGAAAACCCUCCAGGUGCAGCCCUGUCCUGAGAGCUGGGGUCUGUCCCACAGCCCUCCCUGGCAUGGCUCACACCCCACCUGGGCUGGUCCUUUUGCCUGGACCAUAGCGGUCCAGGUAGGAGGGGGAGGGGCCAUCUCAGCCAGGUGGGGUCCAGCAGGGCCAGCAACUCCCAAGCCCCCUUCCUGUCAGCCACUGGCCCACAGCCACGACAUACAAUGCCCCGUCACAAGCCUGCUCAGUCUUCCCCAGAACGAAUUUCUGCAGAUGUCUGCUUCUGUCUGCUGGUGGCACUGUCAUCCACAGCUUGGGCAGACUCUCCGGAUGCUUCUACACCACCUCUUGGGCCAGCCUGCUCUUCACAGUCCUGGCAGCCCCUACUUUAUCCCUGUCACCUGGUGGCUCUCAGGUUGGGACAGCCAGAAGCCCUCUCUGCAAGCUCCCAUAGCCUGGGCCUCCUGGAAUCUUCCUGCCACUCUCAGUGAGGCUGAGCUCACGUCUGCCUUUCUUAGGUCGAGCCUCAUUGGUUAGAUCACCCUCUGCCCACUUGAAGGCUAAGAACUCAGAAUGUGCUGCUCUGAAACCCCCCUAUGCUCCCAAAUCUUACACUGACUCAACCAUGGCCACCCUGAGCACCCUCCCUCAUUCCCCAGCCUUCCGGCCACCCUAUUCCUGAACUGUUUCUUCCAUGGGAUGGACCCACAGUGCCCCUGCAGGCCACUACCCAAACCUUGGCUUCUUGUGACUGCAGGAUUCCCGCACGAGAGGUGUUCUGUCCUGCCCUGAGACCUGGACAGGUCCCCAGGGGCUGCUACUAAAACCACUGUCCGUUU